CGGCACGGGUGAGUAACACGUAUGCAACCUGGCCGUCACAGGUGGAUAACCGGAAGAAAAUUCCGACUAAUACAGCAUAACACUCCUGAGGGACAUCCUUCGGGAGUCAAAGGAGGCAACUCCGGUGACGGAUGGGCAUGCGGCGCAUUAGGUAGUUGGUAGGGUAACGGCCUACCAAGCCGACGAUGCGUAGGGGUUCUGAGAGGAAGGUCCCCCACAUUGGAACUGAGACACGGACCAGACUCCUACGGAAGGCAGCAG
rnacentral:rRNA from 1 species